rnacentral:lncRNA from 10 species
UUCAUUCCAAUUCGGGCGAUACAGUGGCACCAGAACUUCUUCAGCAAAGCCAGAAAAUUUCCCCCUGCCUUCCAGAAAAGAUGGUGGUGGACUAAGGACGGGGAUUCUCCCACGACCUUGAGAGGGCCUAGUGAGGAUCUGCGAGAGGAGGAGUGUAACGUGGUCAACACUGUACUUGAGCAUCUGCUUCUCCAUCUGUCAACAUAAAACCCUGCAGAGCCAUUGUGAGGACAAGACGCUGUAUGGAAAGUUUCUAGAAGAUCCCACGUGCACACAGGUCUCACUCUGUUGCCCCAAGCUCUGUUUCAUGGCUCCCUGUAGCCUCAACCUCCUGGCCUCAAGGAUCCUCCUGCCUCAGCCUCCUGAGUAGCUGGGACCACAGGUGAACACCACCAUGGCUAGCAUUUUUAAAAAUUUGUUUGUAGAAAUGGGGUCUCACCAUGUUGCCCAGGCUAGUCUCAGAGCAAUCCUCCCACCUCUGCCUCCCUAAGUAUUGGGAUUACAGUCAUGAGCCACUGCGCCUUUUCUGAUAAAAGGGAUGGCCAUGUCUGGCACUGCCCACUUCCC